AUGAGUUCAACAUCACUUGUCCUCCUCCUCAUCUCAUUCUUGUUCAUCUCCACGCUACCUCCCUGUAGACCACUGUCAUUCAGCUACAACUUCUCUGACCCUCGCACUUUCGAUCGUUCCAACAUCACAACCGAUGGAACUGCAACUCUUGCACAACAAGAUGAUGGCCUGAUCGAGCUCACCCAGAAUCCCGACCCUAGGGAGGAAGGAAUAGCCAACGCAGUGGGCCGGGCCUCAUAUAGCAUGCCAGUGCUCCUCUGGGACAAGGCCACCGGCGAGGUGACAAGUUUCACGACACGUUUCUCCUUCGCCAUCAAGAAGUUACCCGGAAAUUCCGGCGUCACAUACAAACCCAGCGACGGGUUCGCCUUCUUCCUCUGCCCCUACCAACUAGAAGUGCCGGUCUAUGGUGGCGGUGGUCUCCUCGGUCUCGUCAAAGGAAGCACCGGGGCCACUCCGGCUGUGAUAGCGGUGGAAUUUGACACGUUCCAAAAUAAUUGGGACCCGAGCACCGAUCACAUCGGGAUUGAUGUCAACUCCAUCAACUCGACUGUGGUGGAGGUGCUGCCCAUGGGCACACUCACAGAUCGCACCGAGCCGAUGAUUGCGCUGGUGAGCUACAACAGCAGCACGAAACUUCUCGCCAUCGCCCUACAGCUCGACCGCAGUGAUGGUGGCAUAAGGUACGAGCUCAACAGCACCAUUGACCUAAAGAGCUUGCUCCCCCCGGAGGUGGCCAUUGGGUUCUCUGCUGCUAGUGGGUAUUCCACGGAGCUGCACCGCGUGCUCGCCUGGUCUUUUGACUCGACGUUGAUGGAGGUGAAUUUGGUGCCCCCAGGCACGCCGUCGAUGCCCAAUAAGUUCCCUCAAAUUCCCUCGAAACAAAUGAUCUGGCCAGUCGCCGGGGCAGCUGGUGCUGCCGUGCUGUUAGCAGUUGCCUUUAUCGGCGUAUUGAUCCGGUGGUUUCUAAUGAUGAGGAGGCGCCGGCGGAUGAGGGAGAAGGAGAUGGCUGACUUGGAAGAUUGCAGCUUGGACGAAGAGCUCAAGUUCGAGAAUGGCUCCGGCCCGAGGCGAUUUCGGUAUGGCGAACUGGCCGCUACGACCAACAACUUCUCUGAGGACGGAAAGCUCGGAGAAGGUGGCUUCGGGUCGGUUUACAGGGGGUCCUUAGGCGGCGACCUGGGUCCCAAUGUCGCCAUCAAGAGGAUAUCCAAGAGCUCCCGGCAGGGGAGGAAGGAGUAUGUCUCCGAGGUCACCAUCAUAAGCCGCCUACGACACCGGAACCUGGUCGAGCUCGUCGGCUGGUGCCACAGCAGCGGCGAGCUGCUGCUCGUCUACGAGCUGGUGCCUAACGGCAGCCUUGAUGCCCGCCUCUACAACUUGGGUGGCAGCGUGUUGCCGUGGCCGAGCAGGUACGAGAUCGCGCUGGGGCUUGGCUCGGCACUGCUCUACCUGCAUGUAGAGUGCAAGAAAUGCGUGGUGCACAGGGACGUGAAGCCCAGCAACGUCAUGCUGGACGCGUCCUUGGGCGCCAAGCUCGGCGACUUCGGGCUUGCGAAGCUCCUCGACCACGGGAUCAGCUUGCCGACGGUGGUUCUGGCAGGAACCAUGGGGUACAUGGACCCAGAGUACACGGCCUCCGGCAGAGCAAGCACCGCAUCUGACGUCUAUAGCUUCGGCAUCGUGUUGCUGGAGAUGUGCUGCGGCAGGAGGCCCCGGGACGACUCCGUCAAGCCCUCCCUCCUGGAGUGGGUCUGGGACCUCUACGGCCGGGGCGCAGCUGCUCUGGAGGCUGCUGACAAGCGGCUGGACGGCGACUUGGACCAAGCGCAGAUGCAACGCAUGCUGGUCGUGGGUCUCUGGUGCGCGCACCCCGACCGUGGUGUGCGGCAGUCCAUCAAACAAGCGCUAGGCGUGCUUCAGCUUGAGGCUCCAUUGCCCGUUCUUACUCCAAAGAUGCCCGUGCCGACAUUCUCCACGAGCGUUGCAGGCCCUGAUGCUGAUGCUGAUGGUUCGACAGGCGGUGCCGGAGUUUAUCCUUCUUCCAUGGGGCGGUGA
rnacentral:rRNA from 1 species